rnacentral:rRNA from 1 species
AGAGUUUGAUCCUGGCUCAGGAUGAACGCUAGCGGCAGGCUUAAUACAUGCAAGUCGUGGGGCAACAGAAUGUAGCAAUACAUUGCUGGCGACCGGCGCACGGGUGCGUAACGCGUAUGCAAUCUACCUUUAACUGGAAAAUAGCUCAGAGAAAUCUGAAUUAAUGCUCCAUAGUAUUACGAUGUGGCAUCACAUUGUAAUUAAAGCUCCGGCGGUUAGAGAUGAGCAUGCGUCCGAUUAGCUAGUUGGCGAGGUAAUGGCUCACCAAGGCAACGAUCGGUAGGGGGUCUGAGAGGACGAUCCCCCACACUGGUACUGAGACACGGACCAGACUCCUACGGGAGGCAGCAGUAAGGAAUAUUGGACAAUGGAGGAAACUCUGAUCCAGCCAUGCCGCGUGAAGGAAGAAGGCGCUAUGCGUUGUAAACUUCUUUUGUACGGGAAAAACCCCUUGGUCGUGCACCGAGGCUGAUUGUACCGUAAGAAUAAGGAUCGGCUAACUCCGUGCCAGCAGCCGCGGUAAUACGGAGGAUCCAAGCGUUAUCCGGAUUUAUUGGGUUUAAAGGGUGCGUAGGCGGGAUUGUAAGUCAGUGGUGAAAGCCUGCAGCUUAACUGCAGAAUUGCCAUUGAUACUGCUAUUCUUGAGUAUAGUUGAUGUGGGCGGAAUGUGUGGUGUAGCGGUGAAAUGCAUAGAUAUUACACAGAACUCCGAUAGCGAAGGCAGCUCACAAAACUAUAACUGACGCUGAGGCACGAAAGUGUGGGGAGCAAACAGGAUUAGAUACCCUGGUAGUCCACACUGUAAACGAUGAUCACUCGAUGUUGGCGAUGCACUGUCAGCGUCUAAGCAAAAGCAUUAAGUGAUCCACCUGGGAAGUACGCCCGCAAGGGUGAAACUCAAAGGAAUUGACGGGGGCCCGCACAAGCGGUGGAGCAUGUGGUUUAAUUCGAUGGUACGCGAGGAACCUUACCAGGGCUCGAACGCAAGUUGACAGAUCGGGAAACCGGUUCUUCUUCGGACAAUUUGCGAGGUGCUGCAUGGCUGUCGUCAGCUCGUGCCGUGAGGUGUCGGGUUAAGUCCCUUAACGAGCGCAACCCUUAUCUUUAGUUGCCAGCGGGUAAUGCCGGGAACUCUAAAGAAACUGCCCGCGUAAGCGGGAGGAAGGUGGGGAUGACGUCAAGUCAGCACGGCCCUUACGUCCUGGGCUACACACGUGCUACAAUGGCAAGUACAAAGGGUCGCUACACAGUAAUGUGAUGCUAAUCUCUAAAGCUUGUCUCAGUUCGGAUUGAGGUCUGCAACCCGACCUCAUGAAGCUGGAAUCGCUAGUAAUCGGGUAUCAGCAACGAUCCGGUGAAUACGUUCCCGGGCCUUGUACACACCGCCCGUCAAACAAUGGAAGCUGAGGGUACCUGAAGUCGAUAACCGCAAGGAGUCGCCUAGGGUAAAAUCGGUAACUGGUGUUAAGUCGGAACAAGGUA